UUUUAGGUGAGAAGAAAUAUCAGAAGAGCUGAGCAACUAAGAGACCCCAGGCUCCAGAAGCAGACAAGCCGAUGAGGAGAUGAACAGAAGAGCAGAACUGCAGAAUGAUGUGGCAGAAAGAAGAGAAGGAGCAUCUGAAUGCCAAGAGGAGUUUGGCUGGCAGUGGUUGGAGAGAUCAACCUCUGGAUGGCAAAGCUCCUGGGGAAGAUCAUCUUCCCAUUCCAUCCCCUUUCCAGCUCCCCAUCCAUCCCAUUGAGGGCCACCUCCACCACUCAAUAAAACCCCC
rnacentral:lncRNA from 1 species